rnacentral:rRNA from 1 species
UACGGAGGGUGCGAGCGUUGUCCGGAAUCAUUGGGCGUAAAGGGCGCGUAGGUGGCGGGACAAGCGUGCGGUGAAAGCUCGGGGCUCAACCCCGAGUCGGCCGUGCGAACUGUUUUGCUUGAGCACUGUAGAGGCAGGCGGAAUUCCGGGUGUAGCGGUGGAAUGCGUAGAGAUCCGGAAGAACACCGGUGGCGAAGGCGGCCUGCUGGGCAGUAGCUGACGCUGAGGCGCGACAGCGUGGGGAGCAAACGAGG